rnacentral:lncRNA from 1 species
AUGAAAGAGGAGGAUAAGGAGAAAGGAAGGGAGGGAAGAGGGCCAGGUAUCCACCUGAUGACCCUUGUUUCUUCUAGAGCUCUAAAGCUCUCCCAUUCCUCAUGGUCUACAGUUGAGGAAGCUUCUGGGACGUGCAGCACCUCUACAAUGGAAACGAGAUCUUCAUCAUCAGCUUCAGAUGUGUUCUUGGAACCCUGGACCACAUUUGAAUCUUCGAUGUUUUUAAGAGUUCACCUCACCUUGGCAGUGGUCUGCAAGUUAAUCCUGUGAAGCGACCUCACACAGCCCCUCUGGGGAAGUCUUGCGGCGCCCAUGCCAAAGAAAGAACACCUCAGCAUGUUCAUCCACCUUCCGUUGGCCUCGGGAACUCCUGGAGGGAAAGCUAGCUCCAAGCAGGAAAGAAGAGGGAAGAACUCUGAAGGACACAGAUCAUCCCAGCCUACAGUCCAGGUGAGUCCCUUGUCCAGUCGGAAGAGCCAUUGUGUGACGUGUGUGCAUUAGAGGGUCUGACAGAGGCCUUCUGUGUAAGCAUGCAGGUUCUGUUGGAUGGCUUGCCUGCCACCAGACAGGAGACGCCCUUAGUAGUGCUGCUCCUCCACUGCCUGGGAGAGAGAACACUGAGCCAUGAGUGUGAAUUACUUCCUUCAUCCCCAGAGCCAAAAUCCCUGACAGGGCUGGCAGGAUAGCUCAGUGGUUAAGAGCACUUCAGAGGACCCAAGUUUGAUUUCCACACUAGCUAGUUUACAACCACGUAUAACUCCAGCUCCAAAGGACUGACGCCCUUUCCAUGCCUUUGAGGUCACACACACACACAGAGAGAAAGAAAGAAAGAAAGAGAGUUUAAAGAUAUACUAUCUGACAGAAAGCAGCCAACGAAAGGAAGAGUUUUUUCCAGCCUCGUGGUUUAGAGCAGCAGUUCUCAACCUGUGGGUCGUGAACCCUUGGGUCAAAUGACCCUUUCACAGGGGUCAACUAAGACCAUCAAGAAACACAGAUAUUUAAGUUAUGAUCCAUAACAGUAGCAAAAUUACAGUUAUGAAGUAGCGAUGAGAAUAACUUUAUGGUCCAGGGUGAGUCAGCACACCACGAGGAACUGUUUUAAAGGUCAUAGCACUAGGAAGGUUGAGAGCCACUGGCUCUGAGGCUUCAGCCCUUCAUACCAGGAAGGACACAGCGGUGCUCACAGCAGCAGGAGUGUGUGGCAAAGACUUCUCACAUAGUGGCAGAUAAGGAAGGGACAGAAUAGACGGGGACCAGAUGUGAGGAUAAUCCUCGAAGGCCUGCCCAGAGUAACCUACUUCCACAGACUGGGCCCUUCCCACUAAAAACUCCACAGCCUUCAGUGUAGCACCACGAGGUGCUGGAGAGAUAGAUGGUUUGGCCGUGCAGAGCACUUCCUGUUCUUGCAGAGACCCUGAAUUUGGUUUCUAGCACCCACUUUGAGCAGCUCACAGCCACUCUGAUGCCCUCCUCUGGUUUUCUCAAACACCAGCACUCAUGUGGCCUGCCUACCCACACACAUAACAUAUAAAAAUAGAUCUAAAAACAGCAGCAUAAGCCAGGGAUGGCUCAUUCAGAAUGUGAGGACACCUCAGUAAUUCCACAGAGUGUGGGAAGUCUUCUCCCCCUACUGCUCUCUGACCCGGGAGAAAACCACACCUGGGAGUAAGCCACAGGUGCUAUCACGUGGAAAUCCCACGUUGUGAUCAGUCCCUGGAACACCCCACUCGGAGUCUGCAGUCUUCCAGGUUCAUCAUAGGCUUGACCCGAAGCUGCACCUAUUCCACAGGAGGCUUUCAGAGAGAGACCAUAGCCAGUGCUGGACGCGCAGAGCUGGGCGCUGUGCACUCUUGCAGUCCCAGCACAUGGGAGACAGAGGAAGGUAGAUCUCUGUGAGUUCAAGUGUGAGUGGCAUAGUGUGACUCUGAAGGAAACGAAAGAGGAGGAGGAAGGGAGGAAGGAGGAGGAAGAAGGAGGAGGAGCAGAAGAAGAAGGAGGAGGAGGAGGAAGAGAGAGAAAAAGAUUACUGGAAGCCAGGCAUGAUGGCAUACACUUGUAAUCACAGAACUCAAGACAACUGAAGUAGGAAGACCACAAGUUCAAGGCCUGCCUGGGCCAAAUAAUGAGAAGAGAAGAGAGGAGAAG